rnacentral:rRNA from 1 species
CCCGCUGAACUUAAGCAUAUCAAUAAGCGGAGGAAAAGAAACCAACAGGGAUUGCCUCAGUAACGGCGAGUGAAGCGGCAACAGCUCAAAUUUGAAAUCUGGCCUCUCGGGGUCCGAGUUGUAAUUUGUAGAGGAUGUUUCGGGUACCGCUCCGGUUUAAAUUUCUUGGAACAGAAUGUCAGAGAGGGUGAGAAUCCCGUCUUGGACCGGUGGUAGGGCCUAUGUGAAACUCCUUCGACGAGUCGAGUUGUUUGGGAAUGCAGCUCAAAAUGGGUGGUAAAUUUCAUCUAAAGCUAAAUAUUGGCCAGAGACCGAUAGCGCACAAGUAGAGUGAUCGAAAGAUGAAAAGCACUUUGAAAAGAGAGUUAAACAGUAUGUGAAAUUGUUGAAAGGGAAGCGCUUGCAACCAGACUUGCGCGCGGUGGUUCCCCCUUCCGUUUGGUUGGGUUAUUCCAUCGUGUCCAGGCCAACAUCGGUUUCGGGGGUCGGUUAAAGGCUCUGGGAAUGUAUCUACCCUUCGGGCGUAGACUUAUAGCCCAGAGUGUCAUGCGACCUCCCGGAACCGAGGAACGCGCUUCGGCUCGGAUGUUGGCGUAAUGGUUGUCAGCGACCCGUCUUGAAACACGG